AUUGAACGCUGGCGGCACGCUUAACACAUGCAAGUCGAGCGGUAACAUGGGUAGUAGCAAUACUAUCUGAUGACGAGCGGCGGACGGGUGAGUAACACGUAGGAACUUGCCCAGUAGUGGGGGACAACCAAGGGAAACUUUGGCUAAUACCGCAUAUACUCGAGAGAGGAAAGCUGCCAGCAAUGGUGGCGCUAUUGGAGAGGCCUGCGUCCGAUUAGCUAGUUGGUGAGGUAAUGGCUUACCAAGGCGAGGAUCGGUAACUGGUCUGAGAGGACGACCAGUCACACUGGGACUGAGACACGGCCCAGACUCCUACGGGAGGCAGCAGGGGGGAAUCUUGGACAAUGGGGGCAACCCUGAUCCAGCGAUGCCGCGUGAGUGAAGAAGGCCUUCGGGUCGUAAAGCUCUUUAGGCUGGGAAGAAGGUUAGUAGUUUAAGAGAUAACUAGCUUGACUGUACCAGCAGAAUAAGCACCGGCAAACUCUGUGCCAGCCGCCGCGGUAA
rnacentral:rRNA from 1 species